UACAAUCACUCUCAUCUCACUCUAGUCUCACUCACUUUUUAUCCCUUUCUCCUUCCCGUGAGCGAUCCACUCACUUCCCGAUGCUCACAUAAUCAUCAUCACCAUUUCCAGUACUCUCUUUUUCUCUUGUCGUUGCGAGGUUUGAUGGAGCCCAGGAACCCCGGCACACGCGAAACCACCCCAACCCAUUUUAUGUUCACCACCGGCCGUUCUAUGGUGAACCCAAGGAUUUAGGAACGAGGAUUGGGACCUGAGCUACGAGGCAUUUCCCUAUUAGUGACAUUGUGCUAUAUUCUCUCUGCUAUGGCAUCUAUUGUAAUAGCACUUCUCUAUCCUAAUUUCCGCUUGUAAUUUGUAUUAGAUGUAUGCUCUAAACAUGUCAUGCACUAUCAUAAUAUUUAAUUGUUGUCAGUUGCA